UUAGCAUAUCAAUAAGCGGAGGAAAAGAAACCAACAGGGAUUGCCCUAGUAACGGCGAGUGAAGCGGCAACAGCUCAAAUUUGAAAUCUGGCGUCUUCGGCGUCCGAGUUGUAAUUUGCAGAGGGCGCUUUGGCAUUGGCAGCGGUCCAAGUUCCUUGGAACAGGACGUCACAGAGGGUGAGAAUCCCGUACGUGGUCGCUAGCCUUUACCGUGUAAAGCCCCUUCGACGAGUCGAGUUGUUUGGGAAUGCAGCUCUAAAUGGGAGGUAAAUUUCUUCUAAAGCUAAAUACUGGCCAGAGACCGAUAGCGCACAAGUAGAGUGAUCGAAAGAUGAAAAGCACUUUGGAAAGAGAGUUAAAAAGCACGUGAAAUUGUUGAAAGGGAAGCGCUUGCAGCCAGACUUGCCUGUAGUUGCUCAUCCGGGUUUCUACCCGGUGCACUCUUCUAUAGGCAGGCCAGCAUCAGUUUGGGCGGUUGGAUAAAGGUCUCUGUCAUGUACCUCCUUUCGGGGAGAUCUUAUAGGGGAGACGACAUGCAACCAGCCUGGACUGAGGUCCGCGCAUCUGCUAGGAUGCUGGCGUAAUGGCUGUAAGCGGCCCGUCUUGAAACACGGACCAAGGAGUCUAACAUCUAUGCGAGUGUUUGGGUGUCAAGCCCGAACGCGUAAUGAAAGUGAACGGAGGUGGGAACCUUUCGGGGUGCACCAUCGACCGAUCCUGAUGUCUUCGGAUGGAUUUGAGUAAGAGCAUAGCUGUUGGGACCCGAAAGAUGGUGAACUAUGCUUGAAUAGGGUGAAGCCAGAGGAAACUCUGGUGGAGGCUCGCAGCGGUUCUGACGUGCAAAUCGAUCGUCAAAUUUGGGCAUAGGGGCGAAAGACUAAUCGAACUAUCUAGUAGCUGGUUCCUGCCGAAUUUUU
rnacentral:rRNA from 1 species